rnacentral:rRNA from 1 species
UUGCAUAUCAAUAAGCGGAGGAAAAGAAACCAACAGGGAUUGCCUUAGUAACGGCGAGUGAAGCGGCAAAAGCUCAAUUUGAAAACGCUUCGGCGUGUUGUAAGUAAAGUGGUUAGACGCUUUUUAAUAAGUCCCUUGGAACAGGGCGCCAUAGAGGGUGAUAGCCCCGUAUUAAAUUGUCUAGUGUGCUACUUUAGAGCGAGUCGAGUUGUUUGGGAAUGCAGCUCAAAUAGGUGGUAAACUCCAUCUAAAGCUAAAUAUUGCUGGGAGACCGAUAGCGAACAAGUACAGUGAUGGAAAGAUGAAAAGCACUUUGAAAAGAGAGUGAAAUAGCGUGUGAAAUUGUUGGAGGGGAAGGCGAUGGUAGGAAUAAGAGGCUGCGGUUUGAAAUAAUUGUUUUUCGGGCCACGGUCUCCUGAGCCUGCUUUCGCACCCGUCUUGAAUCACGGACCA